GCAAGUCGAACGAGUUCUCGUUGAUGAUCGGUGCUUGCACCGAGAUUCAACAUGGAACGAGUGGCGGACGGGUGAGUAACACGUGGGUAACCUGCCCUUAAGUGGGGGAUAACAUUUGGAAACAGAUGCUAAUACCGCAUAGAUCCAAGAACCGCAUGGUUCUUGGCUGAAAGAUGGCGUAAGCUAUCGCUUUUGGAUGGACCCGCGGCGUAUUAGCUAGUUGGUGAGGUAAUGGCUCACCAAGGCGAUGAUACGUAGCCGAACUGAGAGGUUGAUCGGCCACAUUGGGACUGAGACACGGCCCAAACUCCUACGGGAGGCAGCAGUAGGGAAUCUUCCACAAUGGACGCAAGUCUGAUGGAGCAACGCCGCGUGAGUGAAGAAGGCUUUCGGGUCGUAAAACUCUGUUGUUGGAGAAGAAUGGUCGGCAGAGUAACUGUUGUCGGCGUGACGGUAUCCAACCAGAAAGCCACGGCUAACUACGUGCCAGCAGCCGCGGUAAUACGUAGGUGGCAAGCGUUAUCCGGAUUUAUUGGGCGUAAAGCGAGCGCAGGCGGUUUUUUAAGUCUGAUGUGAAAGCCCUCGGCUUAACCGAGGAAGCGCAUCGGAAACUGGGAAACUUGAGUG
rnacentral:rRNA from 2 species